rnacentral:lncRNA from 1 species
GGGGGGGGGGGUUUGAGCUAAAAGACUAUCUAGCUUCCAAACCUAGACACAUACAUUGAUUUUGUAUUGUAUAUUUCUUUAGACUAUCUGUAUAUUGUGUAUAUUUGUUUUUGGGCCAGAAGCAAGUCUGGGCCCAUUUUCAUUUGUUUUACAUUUGGCCCAAGUUAGUGAUAUUAGUGAUAUAUACGCUCCUAGAAGCUUCUGUAAAGAGAGAGAGACAGAUACUUUGAUACAAUUUUGCUUUUGAGUUCUCGAGG